CCUACGGGUGGCAGCAGUGAGGAAUAUUGGUCAAUGGGCGGGAGCCUGAACCAGCCAAGUCGCGUGAGUGAAGACGGUCCUCUGGAUUGUAAACCUCUUUAGGCGGGGAGCAAUGCCGGGCACGCGUGCCCGGAGGGAGAGUACCCGCAGAAUAAGCAUCGGCUAACUCCGUGCCAGCAGCCGCGGUACUACGGAGGAUGCGAGCGUUAUCCGGAUGUAUUGGGUUAACGGGGUGCGUAGGCGGAUUUUUAAGUCAGCGGUAAAAUGUCGGGGCUCAACCCGGGCCGGCCGUUGAUACUGGGGAUCUUGAGUGGGCGAGAAGUAGGCGGAAUGCGUGGUGUAGCGGUGAAAUGCAUAGAGAUCACGCAGAACUCCGAUUGCGAAGGCAGCAUACCGGAGCCCGACUGACGCUGAGGUACGAAAGCGUGGGGAGCGAACAGGAUUAGAUACCCCGGUAGUC
rnacentral:rRNA from 1 species